UACGAAGGGUGCAAACGUUGCUCGGAAUCAUUGGGCGUAAGGCGCACGUAGGCGGCUUUGCAAGUCGGAUGUGAAAUCCCUCGGCUCAACCAAGGAAGUGCAUCCGAAACUGCAGAGCUUGAGUACUUAAGAGGAUCGCGGAAUUCCCGGUGUAGAGGUGAAAUGCGUAGAUAUCGGGAGGAACACCUGAGGCGAAGGCGGGCUACUGGGCUGAUACUGACGCUGAGGCGCGAAAGCUAGGGGAGCAAACGGG
rnacentral:rRNA from 1 species